rnacentral:rRNA from 1 species
GACGAACGCUGGCGGCGUGCCUAACACAUGCAAGUCGAACGGAAAGGCCAUGCUUUUGUGGGCUGCUCGAGUGGCGAUCGGGUGCGUAAGACGUAGGUAACCUGACCUAGCCUUUGGGGUAACUUCAGGUAACUAGGGGUAAUACCAGAUAGGAGCUCAUGCUGCUAGGUAGGGCUUGGAAAUUUGCGGCGGUUUGGGAUGGAAUCGCGGCUUAUCAGCUUGUUGGUGUGGUAGUGGGUAGCCAAGGCAUGGACGGGUAGCCGGCCUGAGAGUGUGACCGGCCACAGAGGGACUGAGGUAGGGCCCAGACGGCUACGGGAGGAAGCAGUGGGAAACUUUGCACAAUGCGCGGAAGCCGGAUGCAGCGACGCCGCGUGCGGGAUGACUGCUUUCGGGGUGGAAACCGCGUUCGCCUGUGACGAAGCGUGUGUGACGGUAACGGAUAAAGAAGCACCGGCUAACUACGUG